GAAGAUGAAGCUCAGCAGUAGAGUGCUUGCCUAGCACAUGUGAGGCUCUGGGUUCAAUUCCCAGUACUUCCA
rnacentral:tRNA from 1 species